rnacentral:rRNA from 1 species
GACAGAGGGUGCAAACGUUGUUCGGAAUUACUGGGCGUAAAGCGCGUGUAGGCGGCUAUGUAAGUCGGGCGUGAAAUCCCACGGCUCAACCGUGGAAGUGCACCCGAAACUGCGUAGCUAGAGUCCUGGAGAGGAAGGUGGAAUGCUUGGUGUAGAGGUGAAAUUCGUAGAUAUCAAGCGGAACACCGGUGGCGAAGGCGGCCUUCUGGACAGUGACUGACGCUGAGACGCGAAAGCGUGGGGAGCGAACGGGG